rnacentral:misc_RNA from 1 species
CGCACAUUGCGCCCGCCAGUAUUCUGGCGGGCAUGCCUGUUCGAGCGUCAUUUCAACCCUCAAGCCACCCCGGUUUGGUGUUGGGGGACGGCGCACACGCUGCCGCCCCCGAAAUGAAUUGGCGGCCCUGACGCGGCCUCUCCUGCGUAGUAGCUCGUUUUCGAACCUCGCAUCGGGAGCGCGUCGCGGCCACGCCGUUAAACGACCCAACUUCUAAGAGUUGACCUCGGAUCAGGUAGGAAUACCCGCUGAACUUAA